rnacentral:rRNA from 1 species
GACGAACGCUGGCGGCGUGCUUAACACAUGCAAGUCGAACGGAAAGGCCCUGCUUUCGUGGGGUGCUCGAGUGGCGAACGGGUGAGUAACACGUGAGUAACCUGCUCUUGACUUUGGGAUAACUUCAGGAAACUGGGGCUAAUACAGGAUAGGAGCUCCUGCUGCAUGGUGGGGGUUGGAAAGUUUCGGCGGUUGGGGAUGGACUCGCGGCUUAUCAGCUUGUUGGUGGGGUAGUGGCUUACCAAGGCUUUGACGGGUAGCCGGCCUGAGAGGGUGACCGGCCACAUUGGGACUGAGAUACGGCCCAGACUCCUACGGGAGGCAGCAGUGGGGAAUAUUGCACAAUGGGCGGAAGCCUGAUGCAGCGACGCCGCGUGCGGGAUGACGGCCUUCGGGUUGUAAACCGCUUUCGCCUGUGACGAAGCGUGAGUGACGGUAAUGGGUAAAGAAGCACCGGCUAACUACGUG